rnacentral:rRNA from 1 species
CCUACGGGAGGCAGCAGUGGGGAAUAUUGGACAAUGGGGGGAACCCUGAUCCAGCGACGCCGCGUGAGUUCCUCCUUCUUUCUUUCUUUCCCGCUCUCUCAGCAGGGAAGAAAAUGACGGUACCUGACUAAGAAGCCCCGGCUAACUACGUGCCAGCAGCCGCGGUAAUACGGAGGGGGCAAGCGUUAUCCGGAUUUACUGGGUGUAAAGGGAGCGUAGACGGUGCAGCAAGUCUGAUGUGAAAGGUCGGGGCCCAACCCCGGGACUGCAUUGGAAACUGUUGAACUGGAGUACAGGAGAGGUAAGCGGAAUUCCUAGUGUAGCGGUGAAAUGCGUAGAUAUUAGGAGGAACCCCGAUUGCGAAGGCAGCUUGCUGCAGCGGAACUGACGCUGAUGCUCGAAAGCGCGGGUAUCGAACAGGAUUAGAUACCCCUGUAGUC